GGCGGGGACACUGGCCAGACGCCCCCACCUGGUGCUCAGCCCCGAGUGGGUACUGCCCGCAGACGGCCGUGAGAAGUCACCCGGUCCCAGGGACAGCUGGCCCUUCUGAGGGGCCUCUCGUUUCCAAAGACCUCUUGCAGAUGGCAAAUGAUGGACUUCACAGCCUCUGAGAAUUCAAGGGAGCUAAUUCCUGUAAUUGUUGUUUAAUCACUAAGUUGUGAUUCUUUUGUGACCCUGUGGACUGGAGCCUGCCAGGAUCCUCUGUCCAUGGAAUUCUCCAGGACUGUAGAAGAGCUGGGUCAGGAGGAUGCGGGCUUCCCAGG
ensembl:lncRNA